rnacentral:rRNA from 1 species
AUUGAACGCUGGCGGCAGGCCUAACACAUGCAAGUCGAACGGCAGCACAGAAGAGCUUGCUCUUUGGGUGGCGAGUGGCGGACGGGUGAGUAAUGUCUGGGAAACUGCCCGAUGGAGGGGGAUAACUACUGGAAACGGUAGCUAAUACCGCAUAACGUCGCAAGACCAAAGUGGGGGACCUUCGGGCCUCACACCAUCGGAUGUGCCCAGAGGGGAUUAGCUAGUAGGUGGGGUAAUGGCUCACCUAGGCGACGAUCCCUAGCUGGUCUGAGAGGAUGACCAGCCACACUGGAACUGAGACACGGUCCAAACUCCUACGGGAGGCAGCAGUGGGGAAUAUUGCACAAUGGGCGCAAGCCUGAUGCAGCCAUGCCGCGUGUAUGAAGAAGGCCUUCGGGUUGUAAAGUACUUUCAGCGGGGAGGAAGGCGGUGAGGUUAAUAACCUUGCCGAUUGACGUUACCCGCAGAAGAAGCACCGGCUAACUCCGUGCCAGCAGCCGCAGUAA